AAUCUCAAACCAAGUCAAAUAAGCUGUUUGGCAUUGGCAGAGAAGAUUUGGCAAAUUGUUCAUGGGUGCAUCCCACAUACUCUGCUGCUCAUCCCACAAAUGCAUGUUCCUUACAAAUGCGGCACCAUUUGAAAGGGAACUAAACCGGUUU